UACGUAGGGUGCGAGCGUUGUCCGGAAUUAUUGGGCGUAAAGAGCUCGUAGGCGGUCUGUCGCGUUUGUUGUGAAAACUCACAGCUCAACUGUGGGCGUGCGGGCGAUACGGGCAGACUGGAGUACUGCAGGGGAGACUGGAAUUCCUGGUGUAGCGGUGGAAUGCGCAGAUAUCAGGAGGAACACCGGUGGCGAAGGCGGGUCUCUGGGCAGUAACUGACGCUGAGGAGCGAAAGCGUGGGGAGCGAACAGG
rnacentral:rRNA from 1 species